GACGAACGCUGGCGGCGUGCCUAAUACAUGCAAGUCGAACGAGAGCGACCGGUGCUUGCACUGGUCAAUCUAGUGGCGAACGGGUGAGUAACACGUGGGUAACCUGCCCAUCAGAGGGGGAUAACAUUCGGAAACGGAUGCUAAAACCGCAUAGGUUCUUUAGUCGCAUGACUGAAGAAGGAAAAGAGGCUUCGGCUUCUGCUGAUGGAUGGACCCGCGGUGCAUUAGCUAGUUGGUGAGGUAACGGCUCACCAAGGCCGUGAUGCGUAGCCGACCUGAGAGGGUGAUCGGCCACAUUGGGACUGAGACACGGCCCAAACUCCUACGGGAGGCAGCAGUAGGGAAUCUUCCGCAAUGGACGCAAGUCUGACGGAGCAACGCCGCGUGAGUGAAGAAGGAUUUCGGUUCGUAAAACUCUGUUGUUAGAGAAGAACAGCGCAUAGAGUAACUGUUAUGCGUGUGACGGUAUCUAACCAGAAAGCCACGGCUAACUACGUGCCAGCAGCCGCGGUAAUACGUAGGUGGCAAGCGUUGUCCGGAUUUAUUGGGCGUAAAGCGAGCGCAGGCGGUCAAUUAAGUCUGAUGUGAAAGCCCCCGGCUCAACCGGGGAGGGUCAUUGGAAACUGGUUGACUUGAGUGCAGAAGAGGAGAGUGGAAUUCCAUGUGUAGCGGUGAAAUGCGUAGAUAUAUGGAGGAACACCAGUGGCGAAGGCGACUCUCUGGUCUGUAACUGACGCUGAGGCUCGAAAGCGUGGGUAGCAAACAGG
rnacentral:rRNA from 1 species